rnacentral:rRNA from 1 species
GGCCACAGCCAUAUCACCCUGCAGCCCAAGACCGGUUACUCACUGAAGCUAAGCAGGGCUGAGCCUGGUUAGUACCUGGAUGGGAGACCACUAGGGAACACUAGGUUGCUGUUGGAA